rnacentral:lncRNA from 1 species
GGAUCCUGGAGAACGCACAGCAGCUUCAGCUCUGUGACCUGCAGCACACAGGGAAUGUCUGCCUGCAUGGAGAGCAUCCAGCCAUGGAGCCCUGCUCUGGUGCCCUGGCCAGGCUGCCAGACCAGAAGGAUCCCUGGGGUUGCCUGAAUGUGAUCUCCCACCAGUGGCCAUCGAAGGUCUUGGAGCCCUGCAAGUCCUCAUCAAAGAAUGUAAGAUUGUUGUGCCAGAUGCACCAAAUGGACACCUGGGACCCCGAUGUCAUACUCAGAAAAGGUGCUGGGCUGUGAUUCCAGCAUUCCAGCCUUUUGCUGUGCAUCCCACCAUGUGUGCAUGUCUGGAAGCCUCUGUCAGCAAUGGUGGGACAGCUCUGGAAUACACUGCUAAAAAACUUUCCUCUUGCAAUGAUGUGUUACUUUUUAUUCUAUUCCCCCUGAUUUUCUAUUCCUCCUGCAACUGCCAAUGCAGCAGUGGAUCUGCUCCGACAGAAGGGAUUGUUCUCCAUGUGUCUGUGAUGCCUCAGGUUUUAGCUUCUAUAUUUUUCAGAUUCUGUACUGCAUUCUGUACUGCUUCUGAGCUUCAUAUUAGGGGAUGGUGAGCUCUCUUCACAGAGUAGGUAGACAAAAAAAUUCCUUCUCUAGCUUGGGACCAAGGACAACUGACCCAAAUUUCAGGCCCAAGAGCAUAAACAACAUGGACUGAAGAGAGAAACACAAGAAGGAUGGGACAAUUAACCCCAAUAUGGAAAUGGAGCAGAACUUAUAAAAAUGAGAGACCCCGUGAGCCAUCAUGCAUUUUGUGACCAUUUUGGUUCAUCUUGGGUGUAGCCCUGGC